rnacentral:misc_RNA from 1 species
ACGAGUGAUACAAUUGACCCAGGGUCAUCCUGCAAAACACGCAGGUUUCCGAUAGUGGUGCAAAUCCACCCGCCAGUCGUCGGUGGUCCCUUGCGGGACCUAUACGGUACCA